GAAAUGCGAUAAGUAAUGUGAAUUGCAGAAUUCAGUGAAUCAUCGAAUCUUUGAACGCACAUUGCGCCCGCCAGUAUUCUGGCGGGCAUGCCUGUUCGAGCGUCAUUUCAACCAUCAAGCCCCCGGCUUGUGUUGGGGACCUGCGGCUGCCCGCAGGCCCUGAAAAACAGUGGCGGGCUCGCUGUCACACCGAGCGUAGUAGCAUACACUCUCGCUCAGGGCGUGCUGCGGGUUCCGGCCGUUAAACGACCUUCAUAACCCAAGGUUGACCUCGGAUCAGGUAGGAAGACCCGCUGAACUUAAGC
rnacentral:misc_RNA from 1 species